UACGUAGGUGGCGAGCGUUGUCCGGAUUUACUGGGCGUAAAGAGCGCGCAGGCGGUCGAUCAAGUCGGAUGUGAAAGCCCCCGGCUCAACUGGGGAGGGUCAUUCGAUACUGAUCGACUCGAAGGCAGGAGAAGGAAGCGGAAUUCCCGGUGUAGUGGUGAAAUGCGUAGAUAUCGGGAGGAACACCAGUGGCGAAGGCGGCUUCCUGGCCUGUUCUUGACGCUGAGGCGCGAAAGCUAGGGGAGCAAACAGG
rnacentral:rRNA from 1 species